CCUACUCCUAGGCCACAUCUACCUUAGCAGAGGAGAGCAUUCUGUACAGCCUUGGGGCGAGUGGGAGAGAUACUCAGGAGUCAGCAGAGCUUGACCACAGAAGGGAGAGGAAACAGAAGAAUGGCCCAGAACAGGAGGCAGUCUGCUGAGCUCGCUACAGCCAGAGACUCUCCAGGGGCCUUGAAGAGCAUCCCCAAACCCAAACAUAACAGCAUCUUAAAGCAGAACAUCAUGUGGGAGUGGAGUGGAGAGUGAUGUUUAACAGUAUGAAGAUGUGUGCAGUCUUGGUGAAGAACACCAUCAUGAAACUGAGCAGGAAGGAUCACAGUAUUCAGAAGCAAAAGGGUCAGUAUAUAUUAACUGAUUUUGUUUUAAUGUCAUGAGAAAGAAAGCCAACUCCU
ensembl:antisense Gm16035 predicted gene 16035